GUGGCCAGCCGCCGCGGUAAUACGGAGGGUGCAAGCGUUGUCCGGAAUCACUGGGCGUAGAGGGUGCGCAGGCGGGGCAGCAAGUCGGAGGUGAAAGCCCAUGGCUCAACCAUGGAAGUGCCUUCGAAACUGUUGCUCUUGAGUCCCGGAGAGGCUGUCGGAAUUCGUGGUGUAGCGGUGAAAUGCGUAGAUAUCACGAGGAACACCAGAGGCGAAAGCGGACAGCUGGAUGGGUACUGACGCUCAGGCACGAAAGCGUGGGGAGCAAACAGGAUAAGAAACCCCGGUAGUCC
rnacentral:rRNA from 1 species